rnacentral:rRNA from 1 species
AUACGUAGGGGGCGAGCGUUGUCCGGAAUGAUUGGGCGUAAAGGGCGCGUAGGCGGCGCGGUAAGUCUGGAGUGAAAGUCCUGCUUUCAAGGUGGGAAUUGCUUUGGAUACUGCCGCGCUUGAGUGCAGGAGAGGUUAUCGGAAUUCCCGGUGUAGCGGUGAAAUGCGUAGAGAUCGGGAGGAACACCAGUGGCGAAGGCGGGUAACUGGACUGGAACUGACGGUGAGGCGCGAAAGUGUGGGGAGGAAACAGGAUUAGAUACCCUGGUAGUCCACACUGUAAACGAUGAAUGCUAGGUGUAAGAGGUAUCGACCCCUUUUGUGCCGGAGUCAACACAAUAAGCAUUCCGCCUGGGGAGUGCGGCCGCAAGGUUGAAACUCAAAUGAAUUGACGGGG